rnacentral:tRNA from 1 species
GCGCCAAUGGUUUAGUGGUAAAAUACAGCUUUGCCAAGAGAUUUAGCUGUGCCGGGGGUUCGAUUCCCCCUUGGCGCA